UCUGGGUCCAGAUACAGUUUCAAAUUUAAUAUAUAGAUGUUGCUUUAUUUGUUUAUAUCAUUUUGUUAUUAAAGUAUAUGUUGAUUUAAAUGUGUUUUUUAGAUUACCUAAACAGAUGGCAAUAAUUUGAGUUCUUAAUCUGUAAUGUUACCUGCUGGUUUUGAAAAUUACAAGCACCUGGUUAUAUCUACCGGUAAUUGUUCUUGUGUCAGUGUUCACACGUAUCAUAUGACUGGUGAAGAGGUUUACACCUUCAUAAUGCUGCUUUCAUGCAAGACAUUGAAUGUGUGAUUUUGUUAUGAUGUUGACACUAGUACUUAAAACUUAUCUUGUCAUUUCUAAGGAUGUCAUCGCAUGCAUGCACGUUUGGGAGAAAAAAUCAUAAAAAAUGGCGGUUCAGCAUGGUGGUUAAAAUUUGGAUGUCAAUCAGGUUGUGUGAUUGUUUUAUAUGAUAAUUAGAUAAGAAAUGAAUGUAGAAACAAUCUGUAUGUAUUAGUUUUGAAGAUUUGGGGUCUGUUGAGUAGUGUGUGAGUAAAAUUUCAACAUGAAAUACAAGAUUGUGAAUAAGUGUCUGUCCUGUUACGUGAGUUAGAAAGUUGAUAUGUGUAUUAAUAACAGUUAAUUCAGAUGUUUUUAGCAACUUAUUAUUGUUUCAGUUAUUCUAGGAUAAAAUUUAAUAGAGUUAACUUAUAGAAAAACAUACAAGUUGAUCUAUCUUUAUAUCAAUUGCUAAAAAUAUUUAAAAAAAUAAAAAAAAGUUCUCGUGAUCUUAACUGUCCACAUCAAAAUAACCGCAAUAAUUGAUGAGAAUUAGAAUUUCUGAUAUAAAAACUGCAUAGAUAUGUUUUUUUCCAUCUAUAUAAAGUUAUUAAUACCAUCCAUUACUAAGAAGGUGUUUAUUUAUAAGGUUAUUUAAUAUGCAAAUGUCUGUCCUGUUACGUGAGCAAUUGGAUCAAAGGUCCAACACAAUUAGACCAAAAUAACAUGUAUAUACCACAGAAACUAUCUAUUGUAUGUAUUUUCUGGACAGGUUAGAUACUUAAGCUUUAAAUAAGAGUAAAUAUAAUGAUCAAUUAAGCAAUUUUUUUUUUUGGUCCAUGUCCCACCCAAAUGACUGUAGAUCUAAUAACGAGUCAAAACUA
rnacentral:lncRNA from 1 species